rnacentral:misc_RNA from 1 species
AACAUCGCGCACCUGCGGGAACCUGCGGAGGGAUCAUUACAGAGUUGCAAAACUCCCUAAACCAUUGUGAACGUUACCUAAACCGUUGCUUCGGCGGGCGGCCCGGGUCCUUCCCGGCGCCCCUCGGCCCUCGCGGGCGCCCGCCGGGGGUAAACCAAACUAUUGCAUUGUAUGGCCUCUCUGAGUCUUCUGUACUGAAUAAGUCAAAACUUUCAACAACGGAUCUCAGAUCGGAAGAGC